UUGUGUUAUGGAAAAAAGAAAGAGAAAGCGACUCUGUUGAGAUUAUGUUUCAGUGCCAUGAGAUCAUGAAUAAUUGGUUUGCGUGCUAUUGUGUUAUGAAUGGUUGCCUUGCAAAUGCCUAUGUUGAAUUAGAUGGUUAUGUAGCGUAUGUAUCUUAGUGGAAUGCUGCUUUAUAUCACUGAGCUUUUGAGCUUUGUGGUUAUAUUAAUCCUAUCCACAAUUUUUUAUUCACGUAGUGUAUAAUCCUCAGUUUCAGGGCUUUUGCCUUGGCUGAUUGAUUGCAUGAGACCUUCACUUUUGAUUGAUUGAGUGGCAGCAAAAUAUAUCCGUAGGAACGAUUGACAACUAAUUUGGCAUUCUUUGGGCUUAGAAUAGUUGAUGAAAUUAUCUAGUUUUACUCUUAGCCUUGAAAAAAUCAUAGUUAAAUAUAUAGGUACCCACAGGUUUAAGAUAUGGGGUACCUGUGUGGGUGGUUUAGCUAUAUUGAUGUUUUGUGACGGUUUAUAAACUGCAGUUAUCAAGUAAAAUUCCAGUGAGAAGAUGAUGAGGAAUUUAAAGAAAAAGCAUAUAGUAAAGAUCUUGAUUAAACAAAUACUCUUCUUUUUUCCUGUUCGGUCCCUUUUUGGUUAUGAAGACGGAGACUAUAAACACAAGCAUUUAUAAGCAUGUAUUUGGUCAAUCUGAAGUUGCAAAGCUGGUGUCUCGAUCAAAUGCAAGUAGUAGUCAUGAUAGUGCCAUACUCAUUGGACAUCUAUGUCAAUCUUCUGUUCAGUUUGUUCAUCACUCUUUCCUUUUUCUAUUUUGCGUUAAACUUCUGAUGCUGGUAUCCGUCGAGGCUAUUGGUAUUUGCAACUCACUUUUCUUUCAAUAAUAAUAGGCUGACUUAGGAUAGGGAGUUUCUAGUGCUUUCCAAGCCUUCUGGUAUGCUUUAUCUUCCAACCAAUCUAAUUUUGGGCUCUUGAAGGAGAUCAUCUGGUAUAUGUGGUUGUAGCUGUUCUUGACUGCUAUAAUGGAAGUGUAAACUCUACCUACUUUCACAUGAGAGGUAGACACUGGACUGUGGAAAAAUAAGAUAUCGUGGCACAUGAUGCUUUUUGUUUUGCAACUUUAGUUUUUGUGAAUUUUAGUAAAAUGCUAGGCAUGUGCGAUGAUGAGGUCUUUCGUUAACAAAGAUAGGCCUUGGGGUGAAAAGGUGAACAAAAAAGAAAGGAAAAUAGAAAGAUGACCACCGGAGGCUGGAGAGUAUGGAUCAGUUGGAUGUUGUAACCCAACAGAUAAGAUUUUCCUUUCUGACAAUGAAAAAAUCCAACUAACAGACUGUAGGAAUUUAUAAAAUUCUUCUUCAGGGUAAGAUUCCCUUGUUAAAGUGACAUGGUGCAGAAGCUCAGACAGAGGUAGGGUUGUCUGUGAUGGACAACAAAUAAUUCAUCUCUGCAGUCUCACACUUUUCCUAGUAUUUUUCUGUCAGGAUGGGUUUGAUUGUUGUCCAUUGCUUUUACCUUAGGUUGGACUUCCCUUCAUCAGUAUCUCUUUAAAUGGAGUUCUCCAAGAAUGAAGUCAUCAUGCAAUCAUUAUUAGCUACUGCUGGAUGCUUUGGAGCUCCUCAAUGCUUCACGAUAGUUCUAGUUUGGUUCCUUUUGAACCUACUUGUGGAUUCUUGUAGAUCAACUUGUUUUGAUGAAAUUCUCAUGGUGGAGUUUGCUGAUUGGAGCUGUCAACCUUUGUUGGAAUUUGUUGUUGCUGGUUUCAAUUGGUGUUCAUGUGCGACAACAAGAACAUUGUCUGAGGUGUUUUGCCCAUUUGGAGGGCCAAGUAGUCAUGCCUUUGUAGGUUUAGGAUUUUUUCCCUUGACUAUUUUCUGAAUGCAGGGCUUGUAGUUGUUAAAUUCAUCCAUAAGGCUAAAUGGGAGACAUAGUGAUUGAACAUUCAGGGUCGCCACAUUAUGAGGCCUUGAACUUGCAAAAUGUUACAACAUCUGAGAAUGAUGCUGAUCUGGUUCGGAGUUACUGUGGGGGCUUCUUUCCUGAGGGUAGUACACAUGAAGAAAAAUCCACUUGCACCGAAGCCCUCGACAGAGGAUUCUUUGAAUAUGGAUGUUCCCACUAUCGCCGUAGAUGUCGCAUUAGAGCCCCAUGCUGCGAUGAGAUGUUUGACUGCAGGCAUUGUCAUAAUGAAUCUAAGAACAAUAUCAACAUUGACCAGAAACUUCGACAUGAGAUUCCUCGUCACAAGGUGGAAAGGAUUAUAUGCUCACUUUGUAAUACAGAGCAAGAGGUUCGGCAAGUUUGCAUCAAUUGCGGUGUGUGCAUGGGGAGAUAUUUCUGUGAAACGUGUAAGCUAUUUGAUGAUGAUAUAUCCAAAAGACAGUAUCACUGCAGUGGUUGUGGGAUAUGCAGGAUUGGUGGGAUGGAGAACUUCUUCCACUGUCCCAAAUGCAGAUGUUGUCAUUCUGUUCUAUUGAGGAACAGCCACCCCUGUGUAGAGGGGGCAAUGCAUCAUGACUGUCCUGUUUGUUUUGAGUAUCUCUUUGAGUCGAUAAAUGAUGUAACAGUCAUGCCUUGUGGACACACUAUUCAUAAGAACUGUUUGAAGGAGAUGCAGGAACACUACCAAUAUGCUUGUCCUCUCUGCUGUAAGUCGGUAUGUGAUAUGUCAAAGGUGUGGGAGAAAUUUGACAUGGAAAUUGCUGCAACACCAAUGCCCGAACCUUAUCAAGACAAGAAGGUUUGGAUCCUUUGUAAUGAUUGUGGAAUCACCUCAGAAGUGCAAUAUCACUUUGUGGCCCAGAAAUGUCCAUGUUGCAAAUCUUACAACACCCGCCAAACAAGAGGUGGAUAAAAGGACCAAAUAUCAAUAGCCAAUCUGGCUUUCAAGUGAAAAUGAUCCCACACCCUAUGUGGCUAGGGUGGUACCUCUGAGUGGGAAUGAUUGGGCUUUACAAGCUAAGCUUGUAGAAGAAAUAACGGAAAGAAGGGGUUCUAAUAUGAUCCUGCUUGUAACACUUCUGAGGUUAUCGUGUUUUCGCGUUUUAGUAGUACGUGCGUUUUAUAUGCCAGUGCAAUUUUCAAGACACUGAUUAUUUGUUCAGUGUUAGCCCUAUUAUUGUUGGCAUGUGUGAUUCAAUCCUUUAUAGCACAAAGCGAGUUGGACUGUGGCAUGUUAAGUGGCUGAGAGACUUGAUGUGUUGUGUGAUAUGUAUUUUCCAGUUAAUUACUCACUUGAAGAUAAAUUUGUAUUAUUACUUCAUAUUUAUUAAGUAGUAUAUUUCUUUAAGAAAAUUAUGACGUAGUUAAAUUGUCC
rnacentral:misc_RNA from 1 species